rnacentral:rRNA from 1 species
CGCUACUACCGAUUGAAUGGCUUAGUGAGGCCUCCGGAUUGGUUUAAAGAAGGGGGCAACUCCAUCUUGGAACCGAAAAGCUGGUCAAACUUGGUCAUUUAGAGGAGGUAAAAGUCGUAACAAGGUC